UUCCUCUGUGCUCUACUGCGUUUGCAAGCUCGUGUGUUCUGCGCCCGGCUUAGAAAAGGAGGCGUCACAGGUGGUAUGCUGGAGGCUUGAGUCUGCAGCAGCGUGGCUCGCCUGGCUGCGGUUGGUCGCGGUGAGGGAGAGUACAGCGCAGCCAGUGUGGUAGAAAGGUGGCAGAGUAGAUCCUUUUCUAGGAUUUUUUGGCUUUGCCCGCCCAGUUGCUUCGAGCCUGGAAGAGGAGUCACCUGCCGCUUGCUGGAGGGCAGACUGCGGGCACUGCGGCGCCCACGUUGGGAGGCAGCCGCGCGCCAUGCCACAGAAGGGAGAGGAGCUAGGGUGGUGGAGUGCUGACUGAGAGACUUUGAGGGAUCUUUGGGAGUGGGACCUGCUUCCAGCCUGAUGCUCCUUUCCAAAGGCUUGGAUGGGUGUGGCGGUGCCAGUCUGGGACAGAUGGGGGUCUCACUCUGUCGCCUGUGCUGGAAUGCAGUGGUGUGAUCUCGGUUCACUACAGUCUCUUUCACUGCUUUGGUGCCUGUCCAGUAGGAAGUUCUGCCUCUUGGCUGAUCUCACCCUGACAUGCUGCACUUUU